rnacentral:lncRNA from 1 species
AUGUAGAGGAGGGGAGGAAUACGCUUCUUGAGGUGAUCAAAGAAUCAGGAAUGAAGAGCCUCACUCAGCUCUGCAUGUUGUGAUCAAAGCUCGAAGGAUAUGUGCAGACUUGUAGCAGCCAACAUCGCUCUCUUUCUGUUCAAGCAGAUAAAAAGAACUCUCUAGCUCAACCUGACAUCCUGGUGAGCUAUCAGAGGAUUGGAGAAACAAGAGCCCUGCCCUUGGAUAAGGUCCUGACCAGGCAGUGGCAGUGAGCCUAGGAGGAAAAAUCUCACCUUGCUUUUCAAGCAUAAAGCUGACAGUUCUACUAGAGGCACACAGGAAGUCACUCUGGCUUCACUGCCGAGAUCCUCUGUACCCAGAAGCAUCUGUUCCCUUUGUGGUUGGGAGGGGACACCAGCCAAGAGAAGAUACUGGGUCAGUCUAGGACUAUAUACUCUGGGGCUAGUCACCAAAUAUUGCAAGAGACAUAUUAAAAACUAUUAGUUAUUCAAAAUACAAAUUUAACUGGGUGCUUUGUAUUUUUUUUGCUCAAUCUCACAACUCUACUUGGUGGCCC